UAGGGAAUCUUCGGCAAUGGACGAAAGUCUGACCGAGCAACGCCGCGUGAGUGAAGAAGGUUUUCGGAUCGUAAAACUCUGUUGUUAGAGAAGAACAAGGACGUUAGUAACUGAACGUCCCCUGACGGUAUCUAACCAGAAAGCCACGGCUAACUACGUGCCAGCAGCCGCGGUAAUACGUAGGUGGCAAGCGUUGUCCGGAUUUAUUGGGCGUAAAGCGAGCGCAGGCGGUUUCUUAAGUCUGAUGUGAAAGCCCCCGGCUCAACCUGGGAACUGCAUCUGAUACUGGCAAGCUUGAGUCUCGUAGAGGGGGGUAGAAUUCCAGGUGUAGCGGUGAAAUGCGUAGAGAUCUGGAGGAAUACCGGUGGCGAAGGCGGCCCCCUGGACGAAGACUGACGCUCAGGUGCGAAAGCGUGGGGAGCAAACAGG
rnacentral:rRNA from 1 species